UUCUUAUUGAAUUUAUAAUAAGUAUUACCUGCCCAAUGAAUAUUUAAAUAGCCGCGGAAAUUUAACCGUGCUAAGGUAGCAUAAUCAUUAGCCUCUUAAUUAGAGGCUCGUAUGAAUGGUAGAACAUUUCAACUACUAUAUCACUUAUAUUAUUUUAAAUUAAAUUAAGAAUCAAAAUGUUCUUAUAAAUUAAAUAGACGACAAGACCCUAUUGAACUUUACUUUAGUUUAGCUGGGGCAGCUAAUAAAUCUUUAUUUUUAUUUUUAAUAUUUAUAUAAAUGACCCAAUAAAAUUGAGUUCAUGAACAAGUUACCAUAGGGAUAACAGCGUAAUAUAUUUCUAAAGUUCUUAUUUAAAAAUAUGAUUGCGACCUCGAUGUUGAAUUAAUGUAACUUUACAAAUGCAAUAGUUUUAAAAGUAGGUCUGUUCGACCUUUAAAUCAUUACAU
rnacentral:rRNA from 1 species